GUUGACUACGUCACACCGGCGCUUGCAGCUGUGAUCAGAAUAAACAUGUGGACUUCAGUGAUAUAUCUCGGAAUUUAACUCGUUUACAACCAGCGUGGACAGAAAUCGGCAUAGGAUUCAACUGAACAAGGGUUACUUAGGCAGUAGAUGGUCCACUGAAAACACUUCUUGGGAUGUUGAUAAAAAGUAUUGGUUUUCUUAUCAACUGGACUACCUCCUAAUAUCAAAAAGACAGAAGAGAAGAACAUGUAGUGUGCAAGAAGAAUUGUCAAUUUCCAUAAAUUACACAUUAUGACUGAACAAUACUAAAAAUCAGAAAACACUAGUCUUGUUGAACAGUUUGUCACAGAAAAGCAAUCUCUAUAGUAUUUGCAAAGUUGAUUAUCAAAAUAAAUUCUUGAUAAUAUU
rnacentral:sRNA from 1 species